CAUGCGCCUUGACCCGUUUCCCCCUUCGUUUGCUUCCUCGUUGAGCCGUCGUCGCCGCCGCAGAGUUCCUGUCCGUGAGCUCGUCGCCUUCCUCGCUCUUGUCCCUUUCCUUCUUUCGUCCGCGAGUGUUGCUCGUCUCCGUGACCUCCUGCGCGUAGUCCGCGUCCCCCUCGUCGCCUUACCUCCUCUCCCCGUGAUGUUGGCCACGUGUGCGCGUCGCCGGCGCACGGACACGUAGCCGAGCCGUGGGUCACCUCGCCCCUCCCUCUAGAGCUCGUCCCUGUGGCUAUAUAAGCAGCCCUCGAGCUCUCUCGCAGCUCACAACCCCUCCCAAGCCUCUUCCCCGAGCUCCCGAGCCUCUCCUCGCCUGCAAUUGCCGCCAUGGCCGCCGCCUCGGUCCUCCUAAAUUGAAGCGACCCGAGCCACCCCUCCACUCCCUGACCGCACCCACGUCUUCCCCAUGCUCCUGUGAUCCUCCCCAGCCCCUCACCUCGUCGCUGGAGUACCUAAAGCCGCCGCCCCCAAGAUCCAGUGCCGCCGCGGUAGCUCUCCUUUCCGGUGGCCAUCUGCUCCCCGCGCCUCCCCGGCAGCCACCCUUCCUUUGAAUGGAUGCGGCGGGCCACGCCGAGAUCGCCGGUGGCCACGCCACGGCCGGAGACGACCGGAGCCGGCCGCCCCCCUCGCCUGAAGCUCGCCACUGCCUCGCCUGGUCCUCCUCUGUUCCACGCGAGGAACAGAGGGAGGAAGAAGACGAGCGCCCGACCCCCUCCCCCUAUGCGUGGGCCCCACGCGCCAGUGGCCCAGUGCCCUGCUGACGUGGAUAAGUGGACACGGCUUUUGCGCGUGUACGCUUUCGUCCAAUGGAAAGCGUAUUUCCCUCUGCUUCAGCUAAAAAAAAUGUAUUCAGCCCAAAGGCGCGUUCAGUUUUUCCUCCAGGGGCCUGUUUGCUGAAAAAAAUUCACCGAUAGGUCCCUGAACUUCAACCCUUCGUAUCUCGACAACUGUAACUCCGAUUGAGGCGAAUCCAAUGCUCACGUUCUCUGUUCA